UAGCCAAAACCUAUAAUCUAAAUUCAAACAUAGCUCGACAGCUCUCCACUCCCUAGCUCUAGCCUCUCAUCUCUCGUAUUUUUCGCUGAUGGCCUGACAACCCCUUCCUCAUACUCAGUUUGCACCUCCUGUCUAGGUGUCUACCUGCGACUCAGCCACUGCGUCCAGUAACCGAGGGCUCUUUAUGGAUGUCAAUCGGGCCAGCCCACCGAAUUUCGGGCCAGCCCUAUCAGGUUUUGGGUUAAUCGGGCGCGAGCUAAUCGGGCUGGGGAUUUUAUCGGGUUAUAAAUUUUCAACCCUAACCCUAAACGUUCGAGUUUCGGGCUAGCCCAUCGGGCUAGUCGGCUUAAAUGUGUGAAAAUAAAAUAAUCAUUUGUAUUUUGUAAUUUUUAAUGAUCUAAUGUAUAAUGUAUAAGCAUGAAAUGCAUAAAAUAAAAGAUAUUGAAAAAAACAUCAUGAUUACAUAACAUAUAAAUAAGUUGGCAACAAUAAAAUGUUCAACUUUGUUAACAAAAAAAUAAUAAAAUAUCAAACAAUAGUUUGAAUUCAAAGAAUCAAAGCAUCUCAAACAUACAGAAAAGUGAAAUGAUGAGACUUUAUAAUAUUUUGUCAUUUUUUUAUUUUUAUAUCUAAAUAUUCAAUAUUAAGUAUUCGGAUUUCGGGCUAGCCCAUCGGGUUAGUCGGGCCGCCCUAUCGGGUGUCGGGCUAUUCGAUUAUGGGCUAAUCGUGUUGUAACUUUUAUCGGGUUGAAAAUAUUCAACCCUAACCCAUCGGAUGGCGGGUUAAUCGGGCCAGCCCACGAGUUUCGGGCUAGAUUGACAUCUCUACUGAAUGCAUUCUGAAAUUCUGCCGACUUUGUUUGGUUUGGACCGAACUGGACCAAUAAACAAGGGUCGGUUCCGGUUCGAUUUCAUUCUUAACUUCGGUCCGGGUCUGUUCGGUAGUUUUCAAGUUGUCGGUUCUCAGUUUGAUCCGGUCAAUUCGAUCCAAAUGCACAACCUUAGUUUUGAACACGAGAAUCGCUUAUUUUUUGUAAUGAGAAUCGUCAUUUCAUGCCUAUUCCCAUAAAUAUGGGAUAAGCCAUUCGUCCCCUUCCCCAUGGUACUGUGUAUUCUCACAGAUAAGAGAUUACUUAUUCAUUAUUUAUUUUUUAUUUUGACAAAUUUAUAAUAAUAAUAAUAAUAAUAAUAAUAAUAAUAAUAAUAAUAAUAAUAAUAAUAAUAAUAAUAAUACUCUCUCCACAAAAGAAUUUCCUACUUCUAUAUAUAAUACUAUAAAUGAAAGUUUAAAUUACUAGAAUACUUGGAAUUAAACUUAUUUAUGCUUAAUUGAAGGUCAAUUGUGAAAAUCUGAAAAUAUACUAUCUCUGUCCACGAAAUAACUUUCUGUUUUUCCUUUUUGGAACGUCCAAGAAAUAACUUUUUACUUUUCCUUCUUGGGACGUCCACGAAAGAACUUUCUACCUAUAAAUAUCUCAUUUACUCUUACUUUUCACCUUUUCACCACUCUAUUAUUAAAAUAAAAUUUUAUUAAAAAGAAAAAUUAAAAAACCCUUGAAAGCACAAAAAGCAGACUAAGGGCCGAGCCUUUUGGAAAAUCCGAGAGGGAAAAGCCUUAGCAAGGAAAAAAGAGUGCUCGUCUAAAGAACAAUGUUAAUGAGCUAAGUUGAGGCUAUUUCAGAAACUCCGGCCGAACCAUCGCCCCUAAAUAACCCCGGCUCGUUAACAGAAAACAGCAAAAGCCAGGAAUAACAAAACUAGCAUAAAUGAGCAGCCAAAUCCAAGCCAUAGAAAAGCCGCUGUGAAACUAAACUACCUUUGUUUUUUGAAACAUGUGUCACUCCAUCAUAGGAAGUUCUUUUGUGGACGGAAGCAAUAAAUGAUUUAUAUUUUACUUUUAAUAAUAAUAGUAAUAGUAAUAGUAAUAGUAAUAGUAAUUUUUUGGGAUAAUUGCGUGAAAAUACACAAACUUUGUCAAAAAUCCAUAUUUAACGCGAAGUUAGGAUUUUACAUUUUAAUACACCAACUUUCGUUGUUGUCCAAAUUUGACACGACUUAAUUCUUAAAAAUUCAAAAACAACCCCUUUUUGUAAAUAAUUAUACAAAGACCCACUUAUGUUAUUAUUUGGGACAUUUAAACCAAAACAAGAUAUUUCCUUAUGAUGUUUUCUUUUAAUCUUUGAUCCGCGCCUAAAAUGGUUUAAAAGAAAACAUCAUAAGGAAAUAUCUUGUUUUGGUUUAAAUGUCCCAAAUUAUAACAUAAGUGGGUCUUUGUAUAAUUAUUUACAAAAAGGGGUUGUUUUUUGAAUUUUUAAGAAUUAAGUCGUGUCAAAUUUGGACAACAACGAAAGUUGGUGUAUUAAAAUGUAAAAUCCUGACUUCCCGUCAAAUAUGGAUUUUUGGCAAAGUUUGUGUAUUUAGGUGCAAUUUUCCCUAAUAGUAAUAGUAAUAGUAAUAGUAAUAGUAAUAGUAAUAGUAAUAAUAAUAAUAAUAAUAAUAAUAAUAAUUAUUAUUAUUAUUAUUGUGUUAAUUAUAUUUUAUUCAUAUCUAUUCAUUCCUUGUAGAUACCAGCCAUAAAGAAUUCUAUAUUUAUUUUUAUUCAAUUUUCUUCUAAUUUCAUUCCUGCAUACCAGCCAUCACCUUAAUCUCAAGACAAUAUCACAUAGAAUAAGUUAUGAUUUAUGAAUCUUGGCCUAUUUCUAGGACAAAAAUAAUCUCAAUUUAAUUAAAUUUUGAAUAAUUUCGAGACGAUUCAGUUUCAAGCAAUUGAAAAAUAAAUAUUAGGGGGACGUUGGAAUGAGGGGGAUGUUGGGAUCAAUUUUUGUUAGGUUCUUUUUAGUUUUAAUUAUAAAUUAAUUUAUUUAUACAUCUAUAUUGUAUUAAAAUAUCAAUAUUUUAACUUGCAAUCAAUUUCAAAUUGAUUUUAAAAUUGAGUGACAAGUUUGUAAUUAUAAUAAAAUUGAAAGUUUAUUUGUAAAUUAUAUUGUUUAUUCAUUUUUUUAUCUUUUUUAUUUUUUCUUUCUAAAAUUGUGAAAUUAGACUAAUAAUAAUACACUCCCUCCGUCCCGUUUCAAAUGGCCCUAAAUUUUUCUACACGAAGAUUAAGAAAUGUGUUGUAAAUGUAUAAAGUGGCGGUACCCACCUUAUUAAUGACUUUUGUAAACCUAAUUAACUAAAGCAAGUAAGAGAGAGAAACUCAUGCAAAAGUGAAUUAAAUACUCAAAAGAGAUAUUAUGUUGCCGCCAACUUCAAAAUUCUGAAAACAAUUGGAAUAAAAAAUUCUACCAACUUAAAUUAUGUGCAAAUUUUUGGUGCCAAAUUUGGCACCAAAAACAAGAUUCUGCCAUAAAUUACACAUUCCUUCUCAAAAUUAAAAAUACAUUAUACUUCUAUAAAUUCAACUCAUAUGCCAUAACUAUUUACAAGCUCAAAAACAUCAAAUGGCUUCCAAAAAAAACAUGACUUCCCUAGAAAGGGAGGCUGCACUUCAGUUUCUCUUGAAUGGCAGUAAAAAUAGCACAACAACAAAGGGGAAGAUGAAGGCAGCUUGUGUGAAGUUCUCCAAGAGUCGUCGCACCAUCAAUCGUCUUUGGGUUGAAGCAACAAACCAAAAGGGACGCGUAGAGGACAUCACUGAAGAUCCUCAACCAUCGUCUCCACCACUACUUUCCUCUGAUGAUCCCACUCAAGCCGAGGGUAUCACUCACAAAUCAGGACGUACUCUUGCUUCUUUUGUUCCUGCAGAAAAUGAGCAAGUCAUUCCGUCUGCUCCAACCUAUGCAUCUGAUCCUCCCUCUUCAUCUAAAGGAGCUUCCACAUCUCAAAUUCAACCCAGGGCACUGCAUGUUCCCCCUAAAUUGGCUGUUGAAUUCAUAGAGAUUCCUCGCAAACCACGGGCUGUCAGAUAUGAUUCUGACCUCGAGACUGAUGGAUAUGUCACAAAAUGUAAACGUUGAAUCCCGCCCAAGGCCACAUUCCAACUUGCUGAUGAAGACGCAGAAGAUCCGAUUCAAGCUCUUCUGGACGUCAUCUCUGAUUAGCAGAAUGAGAUUGCCACUCUCAAGCAUGAACGCGAACUGCACGACAUCUAUGGCGCCAAAUUUCUCAAAUAUUUGCGUGAUGUCAAAAAACAGGCAACCGAGGACAUGAUUGAUCAUGAUAUUCGGAUUAAACAGCUUGAUGCGGCCUUGACUAAACUACGUUAAAUUCAUUUUAACUAUGAACACGACAUGAUUCCUACCAAGGCCAUUACUGUACUCACACAUGACAGAUAUAAGGCCCUUCACACCUAUGUCCUGGAACACGAAGUUCAGACCAAAGAGAAGCUUCUGACGCUUCAACAAGAACUUCGUGGCCUUCGAAUCGAAUUCAUGAAAGACUUCAUGACCUCUACCGAUGCUCAACUGAUGGUAGCAGAAGCUCUUCGUCUUGUCAAUGCUCGAAUUACUCAGCUAGAAGGUGAGCUUCGAAGUAUUCAUAAUUCUUCUGAUUCAAAGAGAUACAACUUCAAGUCAACUCUAUCCCUCGUGAUGAUGCCAAAAAGGGGGGAAGAGAUUAUGGAUGAUCGUCUCUUUGAUGCUCUCCCAAAAUAAUUGGCCCAGAACUUUGCCGAUUCUAGAGCUAUCCUUGCUCGUGCUACUUCGAAGACUGCUCAUGUCCCGUCUAUUUUAGAAGAAUAUAGCCGAAAGAGAACAAGGGAAGAAAGCUCAUCCAGAGAUCCAGAGCCUAAGGCCAAGAAGGCUCUCCACCUUGGUGAAAAUGCUCUACGACCGCCUCCUCAACAAUCCUUCCCUCAAAUGCUUCGAGAAGAACAUAAAAUGAAGUACUAUAUCAGCGAAUGACUCCUGGUAUCCUACCUAGAUAGGUUUGAUAGACAAGAUAAAUGGACACCAGCUAACAUGAACGAAUGGUGGCAAAAGCUGAAAGAAUGUUACAACAAGUGGAUUGUCUUUGCCAAAUCUUAACAGGGAUUCGAAUUCCAGAAAGAAGCCUGGAAGUACUUUCUUGUUAACUGACAUGAAAGAGGAAUGGUUGAAAGGAUGCACUGCUCAAAGAGAAGCAAAACUUCAGAUUUCUAAUCCCUUAAAAACGACAGUUUGCCCUCCAAGAAUCAGAAAUGGCGGCAAUAGAGAAACAAUCAAGAGAGAAGUCAGAGUCACUUGCAAGAUCUGGAAUGUGCCCUCAAACUUCAACUCAGAUGAUUUUGAUAAGAUCUGGAAGACAGUCUUCAAUCUGUAUGGUCAGAAACCCUAGUUUCUAGAACUGGUUCUUCUUUGCAAGAUCUACUUUCUUCUUGUAUUUUAAACUGAUGUCUCGACAGUUUUUCUUAAUGAAAAGAAUUUCUUUUUGAUCUCAACCUGAAGACAAUACCUUUUUGUCCAGGCUCUGAUUACUGUCUUUCAGUUAUGUCUUCGUUUUUGUUUCUUUAAACUGUUGUGUUCUUCCUUCAAAGUGCAUGUUUUAGGUUCUAUUGUUAAGGGGAAUAGUAUUCACCCUGUUUAAAAGCUUGUGCCUUGAGUUCAGCCUUUUUCUUAAUUAAAACUGUUGUGCGAUUUUGGCAUCAUCAAAAAGAGGAAAAUUGUUGGGAACUUAAUGAAAUAUCCUAAUCCUAGUUUUGAUGAUACCAAAAUCAAUAGGUGUCACUUGUAUAGACUAGAACUGUUCGAACUCAAGUGUUAGAGUUCUUUUUCUAGUUUAAUUGUUGUUCUGAAGACUGAAGAUGCCGACUGAUGUGACGAUUAAGGCAAAGUCAAAUACUGAUAUUUGACUUAUCAGUCGAAGAAUCAGUUUCGACUAAUUACUUAAUGCGAGCCACGUGGAUUCAGCGGUCUGAUACUAAAGUCAAGUGUGUUGAAAUCCAGUGUGCGCUAGGAGUGAGAAAUCCAACCCAGUGUGUUGGUACUGAAGAUAGGCUCUUCAGUUGUUUUUGUUUGUUGUGCACCCGUAAGCACACGUUUAGGUUUGUUGUGCACUCGUAAGCACAUGCCCAGUGAAGUUGUCGGUCUGAUCAACUGACCGUGGAUGUAGGAAGUGUUUUCUGAACCAUGUAAAAAUCUCUGUGUUAUUUACAACUUUCAGUAUUUACCUUCUUACUUGUGCUCUUACUUUCUUAAACUGAAAACUGAUUAAUUGCAAUAUGAAACUUAACUGCUGACAACGUGAUUCAUAUCACAUGCUAUUUCGAAAUAAAAGUUUUCUGCUGCGUGUGUUAUUAGUCUAACUGAUCUAUUUUCAGAUAUUCAGUAAGAUUCAUAACAUCUCUCUAUUUAACAAACUCGACUGAAGCCUUACGUGUAUCAGUUAAAGUCUUUAACUUAACUGAUAACUCUUUACUGAAGAGUAUUCAGUAUCAGUCGUCAACUUUGUUUUGAUAAAACUCUUUUCACUAAAGGUUGAGUCAGUUUGUGUUUCAAGUUUCAUUUUCAAAAAUAGCCUAUAGGUGUAUUCCCCCCUCCCCCAUACACUUAUUCGAGACCCUCCGGACCCAACAUGUUAUUUGUUCAAUACCUAAGUCUUUGUAAAGGCAUCGAACGUGAGUGUAAAUCAUUCUCAGUUUUAGUAAAGUUUUACCAUAGGGCUUCUACAAGUUAUAAUUUAUAACUUGUAGAAAAAUUUUCCAUCCUUGUGUUCUCGUUUCUAUUUUAAUUCCGCUGCUUUAUACUCUGUGCGCACUUGUGCGUCUCCUAAACACAGUGCAUAAUUUUUGCGAAGAAACACUUUCAAUUGGCGUCAGAGCCAACACUUGACACACUGAGUGUGAUCCUCGCUGUUACAGUAACAGUUGCUUUCACAUGGAUCCCGGUAGUUUGGGUAUUGUGCGACCUCCAAUUCUUGAUGGUGCAAAUUACUCUUUCUGGAGGACAAGGAUUCAACAAUAUAUAAAGGUUGUUGAUUGAUGGACGUGUAUACCACCAAAUAAUUUCUGCAAUAGGUAAGAAUUAAUACAGUUUAGUAGCUAGCAGGGUCGAACCACAGAGAACGGGUAAUUGCAAUCAAUUUUCUAGAGAUCUAAGUUGGUGUAGCCACCACGCCUUAAUUUUGAGAGAAAUAUUAAUAAACUAAGGAAGCAAAUACAUCAAAUAACAAUUACAAGAAUUCAAUCAAAGAAAGGUAACUCGGCCCGAAUAAAUCCACACUAAUUUAAUAAAUCCAUUCAUCGACGCAAAGAUAAAUUAAUCCCUAUCAACCAACCAGUUAUAGGAUACCGUGAACGCACUGACAUACCCCAAUUCCUAUUUUCUGUGUCGAUAGACAGCUGUAGACCCCUUAUUAAAAUAUAACCUAGCUGGAGACGCCAGACCUAAAUUUAAUAUUUUAAUAGCAUUAAGAUGAAGGAACCCGAUUUAGACAAAUUACCCAAGAACGCAAGUAAUAAGUCGUCUACUAAUUUAUUCCUACUACGAACAUGGUAGCUUUAUCACUUAUCAACCAUAUUCCAAUAAUUACGGAUUGGUAGGAACCAAUUGACUUUAAUCCAAUUAAAUCUAAGUUGAUCAGGCUUAAAUUAAAUCAGAAUUAACUCUAAACACAAGGAAUAAAUCGGAAUCAACAAGAAUCAAUUAUAUGCUUAAUUAGGUCUCACAGAUAUUAAAUCAGUAUUUCAUUAUUCUCGCCGAAUUAAGAAUUUAGCUUCUCAUGAUUAAACUAAACACAAUCAAAUAAAUAAAGAUGAACAUUAAACAAGAAAAUAAAUUGCAAUUAAAUAAAAUAUCAAUCGUUUGCUCCCCAAAGUUAGUUCCAGCCGCCCAGUCUCAAUGUAAAAGCAAGAAGAAAAUAAAAUAGUUUGCCUAAUCUCCAAGUAAGUAAAAACGUGUAGCACUAGAAUUAUAUAUACUAAAUCUAACUUUCUCUCUCCUCUCUAAAACUAGCGGCUGUUUUUAACUUAAGCAAAAUAUAUAUGAGAUUAAAAUCCCUAAGGUGCCGAUCACCCCUAUAAAUUGGGCUUCCCGACCCUUACAAAAAAUAGAGCCCACUAUUAAUUAAAAACAAGAGUAUUAGGCUUAAUUAAAUUUAAACAAUUGAUUCAAAGCCCAAUUUCUGAAUCUCUUCCAAAAUCAUGCCAUCUUCUUCAAAUUCACGCAUUUCCCGAACUUUCUUCAUCACGAGCCUCCAACUACGAUCCAUGCAAUUCCUGUGCCAAAACACCACAAACUUGGGUAAUGUCAAGUAAAAUCCUCGGCAAACGACACGAAUCUAAACAACUAAAUCACACACAUCAUUGAUAUAAAAGCCCGGUAUUCUAUCGAAGAUGAGUGGUCUGCCCCUAAGACCGCGGAUGCUCACGGUGAUGUGAUCCAAACACUGCAUGCUCAAUGGACCCGAACUCAGCUCGAAGAGGCAAAUUUCAAUGAGAAGACCAAGCACGCCAUCUAUUCGUUUGUGGACAUGAAUAUGUUCCAGCUUAUCAAAAACAGUACAUCCGCCAAGGAACAAUGGGAGUGCUCCAAAGGCAUUGCGAAGGAGAGACAAGCAUUAAUGAAACGAGGCUACGCAUCAUUGCCACCAAGUUUGAGAACAUGAAGAUGGAGGAGGAUGAAGACAUCGAGGAGUAUACGACGAGGAUACUCAAUAUUGCAAAUGACUGCAAUGAGCUUGGUGAUCCGAUUAGCAGUCGUUUGCUUUUUCAAAGGCGCUCAAAACUCUAUCGUCUCGCUUUGAAAUGAAAAUCACUACAAUCGAAACAAUUCAAAAUAUUGUUGCUCUGGAGUUCGUGGAUCUCAUGAACACCCUCAGAACAUAUGAAAUUACGCUGGAAGAAAGAGGGUUGCUUGAUAAGAAGAAGGCAGUUACAUUCACUGCAAGUCAACAUCGGCGGCAUCAUCCAGUGGCUGUAUUCUUGAGAUUCGUGACGUUGAUGAAGCUGAUGAGCUUGGAGAGAUCAAUGCUGGAGAUGAUGUUGCCCUCAUCACAAGGAAGUUCAACACCAUGGUGAGGAAGAUGAACAAGGCAAAGGGACAAGAAAGGUCAAGGGAGGAAGAGUCUCCAAAAGCCGACUUCCCAUCACUCAAGAAGAACGAGUUCACAUCUCCUCGACCAAUGAGAAAAGUCACCUCAACUAAUGAAUCUUUCAGGUAUGAUCUAAAUUAUAUCAAUAAUGUUCAACGCCGUGAAUGCAAGGGGUAUGGUCACUAUGCGAACCAAUGCGCAAACACCCUUCGGAAAAUAGGAAAGUCUUAUUGGAUGUCAUGGAGUGAUGAUGAGGCGGAAUUCUUUGAUGGCUCAGAAAGCUCAAAGGAAGAAAAAGAUGAUGAGGAUUAAGGAGGAUGCUGGUGUGACAGCAUUUCACGUCACAAUUGGCAAAACAUUGCCUGACGAUGAGGAUGAUGAGGAUGAUCCUAGUUCCAACAGGUAUGGUUCAAAUUAUUACUCCAAUUUUCUGUGCCUUAACGCUUGUGUAGGUAACACUGAAGAAAGCAAUGAAAAGGUCGUGCUUAUCAUCAUAGAGCUCAAAAAGUUGUAUGACGAGUUACUUGGAAAAUGGAAGGAAUAAGGAAAGGAGCUGGUCUAUACAAGGAGUGAGAACAGAAAGCUAAAGGCGUCUCUAGCGAAGCUCGAAGCCUUGGUUACUCAAAAGGAAGUCAAGCUAAACCAAGUUACAAUCCAGCUGGAUGAAGCUCAAGCAGUCAUCACAAAAUGGAUAUCCAGCAGACACAUGUAUGAUGAGUUUGUGGCUGCAAGUAGUCUAGAAACUACUGGUUCGGGAUACCUUGCUGAGACAACAACCACACCCGCUGUCAACCCCACACCAGGAAUAACAAAGGUAUAAUCCACCCAUGGCAAAGAGUUUUUAGUGGAAGGAACCCCUGUGGAGAAGAAGCAUAAUCGAAAGAAGAUGUAUGUGUGUCAUUACUAUUUUGAAAUUGGUGACAUACAACCUUUUUGCUUUAGAAAGUACACGAUGAAAAUAAGUUCUUUGUAAGCAAAAAGAAAACAAAAGGGGUGAGAAAGCCACAAUGGGUAAGGAAGGAUGAGAUCAAGUGUAAUGUUGUGUAUACUGCUAUAAAAACUAACAUUUCAGGC